CCUACGGUGGGCUGCAGUGAGGAAUAUUGGUCAAUGGGCGCGAGCCUGAACCAGCCAAGUAGCGUGAAGGAUGACUGCCCUACGGGUUGUAAACUUCUUUUAUCAGGGCAUAAAGUGAGGCACGUGUGCCUGUUUGCAUGUACUUUAUGAAUAAGGAUCGGCUAACUCCGUGCCAGCAGCCGCGGUAAUACGGAGGAUCCGAGCGUUAUCCGGAUUUAUUGGGUUUAAAGGGAGCGUAGAUGGGUUGUUAAGUCAGUUGUGAAAGUUUCGGGCUCAACCGUACAAGUGCAAUUGAUACGGGCAGUCUUGAGUACGGUAGAGGUAGGCGGAAUGCGGGGUGUAGCGGUGAAAUGCUUAGAUAUCACGAAGAACUCCGAUUGCGAAGGCAGCUUACUAAACUGCCACUGACAUUGAGGCUCGAAAGUGUGGGGAUCAAACAGGAUUAGAUACCCGAGUAGUC
rnacentral:rRNA from 1 species